GGAUGCCUACGGGAGGCAGCAGUGAGGAAUAUUGGUCAAUGGACGCAAGUCUGAACCAGCCAUGCCGCGUGCAGGAAGACGGCUCUAUGAGUUGUAAACUGCUUUUGUACGAGGGUAAACGCAGAUACGUGUAUCUGUCUGAAAGUAUCGUACGAAUAAGGAUCGGCUAACUCCGUGCCAGCAGCCGCGGUAAUACGGAGGAUUCAAGCGUUAUCCGGAUUUAUUGGGUUUAAAGGGUGCGUAGGCGGUCGGAUAAGUUAGAGGUGAAAUCCCGAGGCUCAACUUGCGAAUUUCCUUUG
rnacentral:rRNA from 1 species